rnacentral:rRNA from 1 species
AUUGAACGCUGGCGGCAGGCCUAACACAUGCAAGUCGAGCGGCAGCGGAAAGUAGCUUGCUACUUUGCCGGCGAGCGGCGGACGGGUGAGUAAUGUCUGGGAAACUGCCUGAUGGAGGGGGAUAACUACUGGAAACGGUAGCUAAUACCGCAUAACGUCGCAAGACCAAAGAGGGGGACCUUCGGGCCUCUUGCCAUCAGAUGUGCCCAGAUGGGAUUAGCUAGUAGGUGGGGUAACGACUCACCUAGGCGACGAUCCCUAGCUGGUCUGAGAGGAUGACCAGCCACACUGAAACUGAGAAACAGUCCAGACGCCUACGAGAGGCAGCAGUGGGGAAAAUUGCACAAUGGGCGCAAGCCUGAUGCAGCCAUGCCGCGUGUAUGAAGAAGGCCUUCGGGUUGUAAAGUACUUUCAGCGGGGAGGAAGGUGUUGAGGUUAAUAACCUCAGCAAUUGACGUUACCCGCAGAAGAAGCACCGGCUAACUCCGAGCGAGCAGCCGCCGUAA